ACCCCCCACANGGAUNNNGAGACACGGAUCCGACUCNUACGGGAGGCAGCAGUAAGGAAUAUUGGACAAUGCCCGCAAGGGUGAUCCAGCCAUGCCGCGUGCAGGAAGACGGCCCUAUGGGNNGUAAANUGCUUUUACACCGGAGAAAACCUUCCCUCGUGAGGGGAGCUNANNGUAUGGUGAGAAUAAGCAUCGGCUAACUUCGUGCCAGCAGCCGCGGUAAUACGAAGGAUGCAAGCGUUAUCCGGAUUCAUUGGGUUUAAAGGGAGCGUAGGUGGCCUUAUAAGUCAGNGGUGAAAUCUCUGGGCUUAACCCAGAAAUUGCCAUUGAUACUGUAGGGCUUGAGUAUAGUUGCCGUUGGCGGAAUAUGACAUGUAGUGGUGAAAUACAUAGAGAUGUCAUAGAACACCGAUUGCGAAGGCAGCUGACGAAACUAUAACUGACACUGAGGCUCGAAAGUGCGGGGAUCAAACAGGAUUAGAUACCCUGGUAGUCCGCACUGUAAACGAUGAUUACUCGCUGCUAGAGGGCAACUUUUAGUGGCUUAGCGAAAGCGAUAAGUAAUCCACCUGGGGAGUACGCCGGCA
rnacentral:rRNA from 1 species